AAUUCAGGUUCCGUCAGGAUUAAUAGGGAAUCCUGUGAAAAUCAGGAGCUAUUCCCGUAGCUGUAAGUCCCGGAACAGAUUUUCGCCACAAGUCACUGACGCGUGCGUCGGGAAGACGGCGAAAAUUGGGACAAGCCAGAAGACCUGCCUGCAUUCG
rnacentral:ncRNA from 1 species